rnacentral:lncRNA from 1 species
UUUCGGGGACUCUGGCGUGCUCUGCGCAGGUCGGUUUCCUGGGACUCCCGCGUGCUCUGCGUUGGUCGAUUUCCGGGGCUCUCACUUGCUCCGCGUUGGUCCGUUUCCGGGGCUCUCGCUUGCUCUGCGUGGGCAUCUUCUUCUUGUCCCACCGUCAGGAUGCCGUGUGCCUGGGAGAGAGGAUUACUUUCCAGGCUGCCCCACAGAAGCGCCAUUGCCACCUUCUUCUAUCCUCCUCCGAAGGUUUAUUUGGUCUCUGUCCUUCGGGUUGGGGGGUUUCUCCAUAUUAGUUUAGUUCCGGAGCUGGCUGGACCCUCUGCGGGUUCCAGGCCCGUGUUAAGGGAAGGACAUCAGUGUGGGGACGGGGGGUACUGAGUGUGUCUGCAUGGGGCCAAGUGCUUUCUCCAGAUAAAAACCACCCUGUGCAGGCAGGCGGGACAGGUACAGUCUUUAGUCACCCCUGCCUGCCGGACGAGGCUGGAGCAUUCCAGGCCUGGUUUCUCCAGAUGACACAGCCAGGCCUGGCAGCCCGUCCUUCAGGCCGGGUGGUCUCCUGCUGGGACAUGUGCAGGGCGGUUCCUCUGCACCCCUCCAGCAGCUGGAAGCCCAUCGGCUGUCCUGGCUCUCCACUGCCCUGAGGGUGAGGGCUGAAAUUCCCCACAAGCCGGAGGAGGCCCAGGGCACAUGGUCUCUGGAUGCGAUGCCAGGUGACCUUUCUCUGCCUGGAGGCUUCUCCCCACCUCCCCCACCCCCACGCUGUCACAGGAAAUGCCCUCUUCCUCCUCCUCUAGGCUCAGCAAGGAUGUGGGGGUCCUGGGGCGGCCUGCCCAGCCCCUGCCCCUCCCUGUGACCUGCUCUGUUGCUGGGGCAUGGGGCUGAUUUGUGUAUGGGGUGUGGGUUUCCCCACUGCCCUGGGAGGCCUGUCCCCUGGAUGCAGUACAGGUUAAUCACAACAGCUGUGGACUGAGUGAGGUGCCCGGCUGCCAGGCACUCUGGCCUUGUUUGACUCACAGACAGGCUGACACCUUGGAGGUGGGUGAACUGCUCUGGUCAUACCAUUCCACAGAGGGACAGACCGAGGCUCAGAGAGGUGCAGGCACUUGCUUAAGGUUGCACAGUUGGGCAGGAGCAGAGCUGAGUGGCCUACCCCCAUGCCACACUCACUGCCUCUUUGCUGGGCGUUUGUCAUGGGGAGGUGAGGCCUUGGCACACCUUGGGCUGGGGCGGGAACACAUCCUGCCCCACCAGAGUGGGAGGCCACUCCUGGACGAAGUUCAACCCCUGGCCCUAAGUGGGAUUGGGUGGACCUUGUGCAGGUGGGAUGGGGGAGCCCCUCAGGGGAGAGACUCUGACAUUUCUGGGAGGACACUCCAGGUGGCGGGUGCUGGGGAAGCUCGGCCGCCCGAGGAGACCUAGGGGCUUGGAGGGGUUGAAUGAUGGCCCUCAAUGAUAUGAGCACAUCCCCAGCCCCAGAUCCUGCGGAUGCGACUUUAUUUGGAAAAGCCAUCUCUGCAGCUGCUAUAAAGUGAAGGAUCUUGAGGUAAGGCCAUCGUGGAUGGGCCCGAAAUCCAGGGACAUGUUCCUUAUCAGAAACGAGGGGAGACGCACACAGGGACGGAGGCCAUGUGGAGACAGCGACAGAAGCUGGAAGAGGCAGGAAGAGGAAGGAGCCUCCCGCGGAGCCCCCAGGGGCAGCACCGUCAGGCCGACACCUUGAUCUGGGACUUCGGCCUCCAGAACAGGGAGAGAAAACAUUCCUGUUGUUUGAGUUCCCAGUUUGUGGGUCUUCGUUAAGGCAGCUCCGGGACUGGGAUCGAGGGUCAGCCCAGGCUGGGUGGGAUGCCCCAGGAUGGGCCAGGCCAAGCUGGUGGGCAUCCUGUGCCCUGUGGAGUCCGACCAGGUGCCUCUCUGUGAUAUUCUGGAUGCUCCUCUGGGGUUGAUUUCCCAGAUACUCUCUCCCACCCUCUAGAGGGUCCUCGCUGAAGCUGCCUCUGUUGCUGCCACGCUUGUGCUGGGCCUGGGGGGUGCUGGGAUGGAGUGGGAAGGACGGUGCAGGCUCCCCACGUCAGAACCCUUCCUUGGUUCAGAGUAAGGUCUUGAAGGGUUGGGGCAGCAGCAUUUCCUGAAGCCUCAGGCAAAAAAGGUGAGCUUUCUAGGGCAGGAAACUUCCAGAAGUUUCUGAGGUGCCUCCACUGAGCAGGAGAUGGAUCAGGCCCUUUGGACUGUGAGCCAGAGCUUUCCUCUCCACAGAGAGUGAGGGGCUCCUGGGAACUCCAUGCCCGCAUUCUCCAAGGGUGUGUCCUUCCCUGGGAGUCCUGGGGUCUGUGGCAGUGGCGGGGGUGGGUAGGAUGAAUGAAUGUGUGGCGGGUGCAGCUGGGUGUGAAUGGUGGGCGCCAGUGGGAAUGAAUGAAUGAAUGUGUGGCGGGUGCGGUGGGAUGAAUGAAUGUGUGGCAGGCGCCAGCGGGAAGGAAUGAAUGUGUGGCAGGCGCCAGCGGGAAGGAAUGAAUGUGUGAUGGGCGCUGGUGGGAAUGAAUGAAUGAAUAUGUGAUGGGCAUGGGUGGGAGUGAAUGAAUGUGUGGUGGGCGCGGGUGGGAGUGAAUGAAUGGUGGGCGCUGGUGGGAAUGAACGAAUGAAUGUGUGGCAGGCUCGGGGGGAAGGGAUGAAUGUGGUGGGCGGGGGAGGGAAGGAAUGGAUGUGUGAUGGGUGCAGGUGGAAAUGAAUGAAUGAAUGUGUGGCAGGCGUGGGUAGGAAUGAAUGAAUGUCCACAUGGGGCAGCCCUGCCCUGCCCACCUCGCCCUGGCCGAGGAUCCCUGCCCUGUGCGGGGCCCUCACUUUCUGGUGUGUAAACCUGGUCAGCCUGGACCUGAGAAGCCCCGGAAGUUUCCUCAGCAACCCCUUGUCCCUGCCUGGCCUUUAAGCUCCUUGGUUUGCCGUCGGGGAGCCAGCGCCAGCCGCCUACGCCCGCCUCUCCCCGCACAUAGAGAAGCACGUCCCCGCGUCCCUGUCCAGCUGGUCCCUGAGGACAGCAUCAGGCGCAGCCCUUCACUCGGGUGUGGCUGAGGAUGGCGCCGCCAGGAGAUGACUCACCCCAUCAAAUGUGCGGCAUUUGUCAUUUUUCUCACCAGUUGCUAUUUUUAAAACUCUGUCCUUUGGUUUCUGUAGUAAUUUUGAGCCUCUUUUUAAUAGAACUUCCAAUGCUUUUGUGAAUCUUACACUCGUUGAAAAUGAUGGGGUUAAAAAUGUUUGUUAAACCCAAAA